rnacentral:lncRNA from 1 species
UUUUUGCAGAUGAAUUUCAUAUUUGUUCUGGCAAAAGAGGAACAUCUAUAUGCGACAUAUCUCAACACUAUAGUUUGAAGUUCAUCAAGACGGUUCUUGAUAAAUGUACUUCCAAAAUUCUUGUCUUGGGUUCCUGACAAAUUUGCCUGACAAUAAACAUCUUAUUUUUACAUAGAUUGACAAACUAUGAUGUCAUUGAAGGAGUCCCUGAAGGGCACGUCAGCAUCGUCUUCUAGUGAAGGAGCUCACCCGAAGGUGCCCUCAAAUGCUACCAAUCCAAUUGAAAAUGAAGAAAUGGUAAUAAUGAAGAAACGACGACGCGAAUUCAAAUAUUGCAUGCUUCUAACCGAACUUCGUACAUUAGGAAUGGUAGGAAGUGAGGAAAAACAUGAAGUAGUUAAAAUUUGUUGAAUAGAAAACAUUGUCGUCCCUUUUUGAAUGGUUGAAAAUAGUGAAACUUGCAAGUUAUGAAGCUUAAUAAUCUAAUCUUUGUA